rnacentral:rRNA from 1 species
GAUGAACGCUGGCGGCGUGCCUAAUACAUGCAAGUAGAACGCUGAAGGAAGGAGCUUGCUCUUUCCGGAUGAGUUGCGAACGGGUGAGUAACGCGUAGGUAACCUGCCUGGUAGCGGGGGAUAACUAUUGGAAACGAUAGCUAAUACCGCAUAACAGUAGAUGUUGCAUGAUAUCUACUUAAAAGGUGCAAUUGCACCACUACCAGAUGGACCUGCGUUGUAUUAGCUAGUUGGUGAGGUAACGGCUCACCAAGGCGACGAUACAUAGCCGACCUGAGAGGGUGAUCGGCCACACUGGGACUGAGACACGGCCCAGACUCCUACGGGAGGCAGCAGUAGGGAAUCUUCGGCAAUGGACGGAAGUCUGACCGAGCAACGCCGCGUGAGUGAAGAAGGUUUUCGGAUCGUAAAGCUCGGUUGUGAGAGAAGAACGAGUGUGAGAGUGGAAAGUUCACACUGUGACGGUAUCUUACCAGAAAGGGACGGCUAACUACGUG